rnacentral:rRNA from 1 species
GAUGAACGCUGGCGGCGUGCUUAACACAUGCAAGUCGAACGAUUAAAGCCCCUUCGGGGGUGUAUAGAGUGGCGAACGGGUGAGUAACACGUGGGCAAUCUGCCCCUCACUUCGGGAUAACUCAGGGAAACUUGAGCUAAUACCGGAUACUCCGGGAAGGUCGCAUGGCCAACCCGGGAAAGCUCCGACGGUGAGGGAUGAGCCCGCGGCCCAUUAGCUUGUUGGUGAGGUAACGGCUCACCAAGGCGACGAUGGGUAGCCGAGCUGAGAGGCUGAUCGGCCACACUGGGACUGAGACACGGCCCAGACUCCUACGGGAGGCAGCAGUGGGGAAUAUUGCACAAUGGGCGCAAGCCUGAUGCAGCCAUGCCGCGUGUAUGAAGAAGGCCUUCGGGUUGUAAAGUACUUUCAGCGGGGAGGAAGGUGUUGAGGUUAAUAACCUCAGCAAUUGACGUUACCCGCAGAAGAAGCACCGGCUAACUCCGUGCCAGCAGCCGCCGUAA